rnacentral:rRNA from 1 species
GACGAACGCUGGCGGCGUGCCUAAUACAUGCAAGUCGAACGAGUGGCGGACGGGUGAGUAACACGUGGGAACCUACCCAUCAGAGGGGGAUAACACUUGGAAACAGGUGCUAAUACCGCAUACUUAUAGAUGGAUCCGCGCUGCAUUAGCUAGUUGGUAAGGUAACGGCUCACCUAGGCGACGAUCUCUAGCUGGGCGGAGUGGAUGAUCAGCCAAACUGGGACUGAGACACGGCCCAGACUCCUACGAGAGGCAGCAGUGGGGAAUAUUGCACAAUGGGCGCAAGCCUGAUGCAGCCAUGCCGCGUGUAUGAAGAAGGCCUUAGGGUUGUAAAGUACUUUCAGCGGGGAGGCGUUACCCGCAGAAGAAGCACCGGCUAACUCCGUGCCAGCAGCCGCGGUAAUAC